rnacentral:misc_RNA from 1 species
GGAAUAUUGGACAAUGGGCGCAAGCCUGAUCCAGCCAUACCGCGUGGGUGAAGAAGGCCAUCGGGUUGUAAAGCCCUUUUGUUGGGAAAGAAAUCCAGCUGGCUAAUACCCGGUUGGGAUGACGGUACCCAAAGAAUAAGCACCGGCUAACUUCGUGCCAGCAGCCGCGGUAAUACGAAGGGUGCAAGCGUUACUCGGAAUUACUGGGCGUAAAGCGUGCGUAGGUGGUCGUUUAAGUCCGUUGUGAAAGCCCUGGGCUCAACCUGGGAACUGCAGUGGAUACUGGGCGACUAGAAUGUGGUAGAGGGUAGCGGAAUUCCUGGUGUAGCAGUGAAAUGCGUAGAGAUCAGGAGGAACAUCCAUGGCGAAGGCAGCUACCUGGACCAACAUUGACACUGAGGCACGAAAGCGUGGGGAGCAAACAGGA